rnacentral:rRNA from 1 species
GUGUCAGCCGCCGCGGUAAGACGGAGGGGGCAAGCGUUGUCCGGACUCACUGGGCGUAAAGCGCACGUAGGCGGUGCGGUGCGUCGCGGCUGAAAGCGCCAGGCUUAACCUGGCGAGGCGUUGCGAUACGACCGUACUUGAGGCAGGCAGAGGGUGGCGGAAUUCCGGGUGUAGUGGUGAAAUGCGUAGAGAUCCGGAGGAACGCCUGUGGCGCAAGCGGCCACCUGGGCCUGACCUGACGCUGAGGUGCGAAAGCGUGGGGAGCGAACCGGAUUAGAAACCCCCGUAGUCC